AAGAAUUUAAAAGUCGAACAGACUUCACAUUUAAGCGGCUACACCUAAAAAUAUAUCUUAAUCCAACAUCGAGGUCGCAAACUUUUUUAUCGAUAUGAACUCUCCAAAAAAAUUACG
rnacentral:rRNA from 2 species